CCUACGGGUGGCAGCAGUGAGGAAUAUUGGUCAAUGGACGCAAGUCUGAACCAGCCAUGCCGCGUGCAGGAUGACGGCUCUAUGAGUUGUAAACUGCGUUUGUACGAGGGUAAACCCCGAUACGUGUAUCAGGUUGCAAUUAUCGUACGAAGAAGGAUCGGCUAACUCCGUUACAGCAGCAGAGGUCAUACGGAGGAUCCGAGCGUUGUCCGGAUUUGUUGGGUUUAAAGGGUGCGUAGGCGGUUUGAUAAGUUAGAGGUGAAAUGUCGGGGCUCAACCCCGAGACUGCCUCUAAUACUGUUGGACUAGAGAAUAGUUGAGGUAGGCGGAAUGUAUGGUGUAGCGGUGAAAUGCUUAGAGAUCAGACAGAACACCGAUUGCGAAGGCAGCUUACCGAAUUAUAUCUGACGUUGAGGGACGAAAGCGUGGGUAGCAAACAGGAUUAGAUACCCCUGUAGUC
rnacentral:rRNA from 1 species